CUCACUCAGACUGGCCUCCCGUAGUGCCUUGAAGAGAGCUAGAUUUAGAAGAAAUAUUACUUCAGCUCUCAGGAUGGAAAAAGAUCUAGCCAGGAGGCAGAGACUCUGGAAAAGUGCUAAUAAAUUGUUACUGCCUGCUAUUAAAAGGAUCGAUAAGAUGGUGAAACUGAGAAGUUAAAGGACUUGUCCAAAGUCACAUAGUUGGCAAAGCCCGCAAACAUUUCUGGCUGAAUCUCUGCACUUCCCGGGUUCUGCAGCUAUGUCCUACGAAAAGGAAACGGUUUCUCCGAAAACCCAAUAACCUGCCUCCCGCUAUCCUGCCUGUAGAGUAUCAGGCAAGCACCUAUUUAGGCAGGAAGGGAGACAGCAAGCAGAAGUGAAGACGUUCCUCUUUAAGUGUAUGAGGUCAGGU